AGACACCAUAGGAUCCUGAGGGCUCCCCAGCCUGGAAGAUAAGCAGGAUCAGGCCUGGCUCGAGCUUAGAUGGGGAACCUUGUGGAAAGACUGGACCUCGAGACUU
rnacentral:rRNA from 1 species